AGCUUUGCACAGUGGCAUGAUCAUAGUCAAUGAGGUUUAUUCAGGGCGCGAGUAUUGCUAAUUGAAAACCUUUCCCAAUACUUCACCACGAAGACUAGAACUAUAGUUGGCAUUGACAAUUUUUUGAGUCUCUGCAAGG
ensembl:snRNA U4 U4 spliceosomal RNA